GCCAGUGUGGUAUAGUGGUUUCACUGAUGAACUAUGACUCUGUUGACUAGGGUUUGAGUCCCUACUUGGCCA